AACGAACGCUGGCGGCAGGCCUAACACAUGCAAGUCGAGCGAGAAGACGUAGCAAUACGUUUGUAAAGCGGCGAACGGGUGAGGAAUACAUGGGUAACCUACCCUCGAGUGGGAAUAACUAGCCGAAAGGUUAGCUAAUACCGCAUACGACUCUCGGUCUGCGGAUCGAGAGAGAAAGCGAUACCGUGGGUAUCGCGCUCUUGGAUGGGCUCAUGUCCUAUCAGCUUGUUGGUGAGGUAACGGCUCACCAAGGCUUCGACGGGUAGCUGGUCUGAGAGGACGAUCAGCCACACUGGCACUGCGACACGGGCCAGACUCCUACGGGAGGCAGCAGUAAGGAAUAUUGCGCAAUGGGCGACAGCCUGACGCAGCGACGCCGCGUGGGGGAUGAAGGUCUUCGGAUUGUAAACCCCUUUCGGCAGGGAAGAUGGAACGGGCGAACCGUUCGGACGGUACCUGCAGAAGCAGCCACGGCUAACUUCGUGCCAGCA
rnacentral:rRNA from 1 species